UAAUAAAAUGAGUUGGGAAGUGUUUGGUUUUUUAUUUAAAAACAAAAAAGAUCUAAGGAUCUCACGAGAGCUGUUAUCUUAAGCUUUUGCUCAGUUUAGGAAAGCCCCCUUUCUCCAACCAAUUGGUUUCAGAAACUACACACAGUGAUAUUGACAGUGAAAGCCUUUAUACAAAAAUUUUAAUUGUUAGUUGAAUAUCGUUGGUAUUCUACCAGUUACGUGGCCUUUUAUGGUUUUUAGUGUGCUCAUUUUGCGCUUGCACUUACAUUUCGUGUGUUUCCUGUUAUAAAUGUCAGGAAACUUUGGCCUCCCUAAAUAACAUCAGGCAUCAUGCCACCUAUUUGAUCGCAGAUAUUUUUUACAGAUUUGGAGUUUCUUGACCUUGAAAUUUUCCUUUAUUUUAGCCCCAAAUAGUAUCACCUGUUUUGAAAUAUUUCAACAAUACAUAUACCCCAAAAUGUUUGGAUUUUUCAGAUAUCUACAAUCUAGACCAUGAUCAAAGUAAAAAGAUAUUAAAAAGUCAAGAAUAUAGUUUGAAAAUUUCUUAGGGUGCUGCUGGGCAGAAAGCUUAGAUUUAAGCAAAUGAAUACUUAAAAUGGAUAUAAACAUUUUAGAGCUAGCAGCAAUUCAGAGCAUAAAUGCUUUAGGAUGAAGAAGCCUUUGAUAGUUGUAAUAAGCUUGCAUUGUAUUUGGUAUCUGUUGUAAAUCACAACUCGGACUAUUAUAUAGACAUGGAAUUAUGUUAGUCUACGAGUCACACAUUUCCUGUAUAUUUCUAAAUUCUCCACAUUAAAAAUAUUAAUCCAAAACUAGAAGCAAGAAUGGCAGCUAUUUUAUAUGACUUUUUAAGCAAGUUGUGGCUAUUAUUUUUCUUCACCUGAUUCAGAGGAAUGCAUAGGAUGUAUUCAUGUAUAACACACCUGUUAGUGCUUACUAUAGAGGAAUGGUAUUGACAAUUUAAUUUCAGUUGCCUACAUUUUCAAAACAAUGAAGACCUAUCACUGACCAUAAAAUAGAAAUCAACCAUUCAAAACAGUUGAACAUUUAUUGUAUCAUUUACUCUAUAGAGGCAAUCUCAUUAUUACAGUAAAUAUAGCCAGUUUAUGUGCAUAUGUAGACAGGGAUCUAUAAUGUACAUGGCAGCUUAUAACAAAUACACAAAUGUAAUGGAUAUUUUGGGUUAUUUUCAAAACAAGCUUAUAUAAAACAGAUUCUGUGGCUGUGUGCUAAGGAGUGGUUUCGAUUGGAAGACUUGAAAAAUUUUUAAUGAAAAUUUGCCUCCCUCCCCCUUUUUUUUUUUGGCAGAUGAAUUACUGAAGAAAAAGUGUGAAAGCAGAUUGAUUCUGUACCCACUUUUUAGAUUUCAGGUUCACAUGCAUCGUAAUAAAGUUUCCUCCGUGUGGUCUUAAUUCAGUGAAGGCUUUCUGGUUUGGCGUUCAUAUACAUAAUUGUGCAAAGGCUUUAUAGUGUAAUAUCUUUGUGAUAUGUAGAGGCAUAACAAAAAGCAAUACAGAAAUUGGUAUCAAGAGUGGGAUAUGAACCACCAUUACAAGACCUUUAUUUCAUUAUCAGUAUCUUCAUGGACAUAGGUCUCUGAAGUCAAGAGGUCAGCAAGAGAAGCCUGUGUCAGCAGAGGAUGAAGGGACCUCGAUGUGGAUGUGGAGUGGGUGCCUGCAUAGAAGAGGGUCAGAGCUGCCACGCUGCUCUAGACCGCCACGGAAGUGCUUUCCCUGAACGGCAGGGAACAAAGCUCAAGCCACUCGAGAACCCUCCCCAUGCCUCUCUGAGAGGCAAUAUGGAGUCUGCAUCCCAGCUACAGGAUGGGCCAGUGUCCAACGCUGGAGCAGCAUCGUGGCCGGGCUGGGAGACGAACUACGUUUGUAGGCCAGCCCCGUGCUACCUCUGGGGCCAGCGGGCGGCCAGAGCUGUUAGAGAGCCAGGAAGGGCAGAUGCGACCCUGGGGAUCGCUGGCAGCUGCCUCAAUUUGUGUCUAACUGUGUCCUUUAGUUUGGAAUAACGUGUGAGAUUUUAAGGCCCUGUCAAUGUCUGCAGUUGAAGCUCUUAGCCUAUAAAAUUUUCAUGUGUUUAAAAUUA